rnacentral:rRNA from 1 species
GAUGAACGCUAGCUACAGGCUUAACACAUGCAAGUCGAGGGGAAACGGCAUUGAGUGCUUGCACUCUUUGGACGUCGACCGGCGCACGGGUGAGUAACGCGUAUCCAACCUUCCCAUUACUGUGGGAUAACCUGCCGAAAGGCAGACUAAUACCGCAUAGUCUUCGAUGACGGCAUCAGAUUUGAAGUAAAGAUUUAUCGGUAAUGGAUGGGGAUGCGUCUGAUUAGCUUGUUGGCGGGGUAACGGCCCACCAAGGCGACGAUCAGUAGGGGUUCUGAGAGGAAGGUCCCCCACAUUGGAACUGAGACACGGUCCAAACUCCUACGGGAGGCAGCAGUGAGGAAUAUUGGUCAAUGGACGGAAGUCUGAACCAGCCAAGUAGCGUGCAGGAUGACGGCCCUAUGGGUUGUAAACUGCUUUUGUAUGGGGAUAAAGUUAGGGACGUGUCCCUAUUUGCAGGUACCAUACGAAUAAGGACCGGCUAAUUCCGUGCCAGCAGCCGCGGUAAUACGGAAGGUCCAGGCGUUAUCCGGAUUUAUUGGGUUUAAAGGGAGCGUAGGCUGGAGAUUAAGUGUGUUGUGAAAUGUAGACGCUCAACGUCUGAAUUGCAGCGCAUACUGGUUUCCUUGAGUACGCACAACGUUGGCGGAAUUCGUCGUGUAGCGGUGAAAUGCUUAGAUAUGACGAAGAACUCCGAUUGCGAAGGCAGCUGACGGGAGCGCAACUGACGCUUAAGCUCGAAGGUGCGGGUAUNNAACAGG